GCCUCAAAUUGGACUGAGAUUUUAAAUCAAAUGAUUUUAAAGAGGUGAUUUUGAAAGCCCAAAUACACGUAUUUGAAAUCCCACCCUCACCCUUCGUAUUUACCAAAUCCAAAUCCGGACCCGACGACUCCCCCGAUCCCGACUCCUCCUCCCUCUCGUUUCUCAGCGGCGAUCCCUCUCGUUUCUCAGCGGCGAUCUCGAAUCUCCAGGACUCAAAUUCUUCGAGACAUGAAGUUGGGCGCAUUGGAGAGAAAAGAGGAGAAGACUUGAAGGAUAAAUAGAGGAUUCUAGAUAUGUUUUCUUUUAAUAGUUUAUGUUGUCGUAAUUUGGCUUGUUGUAGCAAAUCAUGGUUACUUCUUAUAGCAAAUCAUGGUUAUCAACUACCUAUGGCAUGUUGUGUUUUAAAUGAAGUAUUAUUGUGGAGUGUAGAGCUUCUUAUGAGGAGUGUUUGCUAAACUCUUUUGACUCGUCGAGUCUUUUAUCAUGGCUAGUUAUUGGAGUAGUACUCUUGUUCUUUGGAGAUUGAAGGUUGAUGUAGUAUUGGAUGAAGCCAUGAAAAAAUGGCGUAAUAAUAAAUAUUUUGGACAUUAUUAUUA